rnacentral:rRNA from 1 species
UUGUAAAGUGAGGGACCACCCUCAAAGUUUCAAAAAUUUUUGAUGUUAGAUAGUGUACAAGUACUGUAAAGGAACGGUGAAAUAGCAUUUGUGAAAUUGAAAAGCCCUGAAAUUUAACGCUGACAAUAUGUUGAAGCUUUUAAAAAUUAUAAAAAAAGUGACAGCGUUCCUUUUGCAUAAUGAAUCAACGAGUUUAUUUAAAUGGCAAGCUUAAGUUAAAAAAUGUAGGCGCAAAGAAAUUAAAUUUAAAA